UUUAGAAGCCUUAAUGAAACAGGCUUAAUGAAGGGGUCUGCUGAAGUAACAACUACAGAGCCUGGAAACCAACUGGAAGAAGCGGAUGGGGAUAGGAGGUUGGAAAGAAAUCUCCUAUUAGUUUUGCUUGACAUAAGACAGCCUGUCUCCUGCUUUCUACACCCCCAGCAGCAGGAGUGACUAGCAAGCCCUGGAGUGUGCUUCUGGCAAGAUCGCUCUCUUCUUCAGCGCUUACUGCCUCACUUCCAAUAUUUGUGGUAUCCCUUGAUCUAGAUUUCUUCAGUCCCCAAAAGAAGUUGCGGUUCCCCCAGCAACCCUCAUCUUCCAGACUCUCUUCCCUAUGUGGUUGGGUACUUUUCUCCAUCUCCCAAUUCACCCCCAACUCCCCAAACUCCUUCCUUAUGUCCCCUGGAAAUCAUAGUCAAUCAUUAGCAAAAUCCCUUAUAUUCACAAUAUCUCUAAAUAGUCUCUUCAAUACUUUCAUGUUAUCUACUGACCCCCAAUGCCAGGACAUUUUCCCACCUGUUCCAAAAGGUUCUAGCUCCUGGUUCACAGUCAUUCUCUUUUAUAACACACCAUCAAAAUUCCUGGUGAUUUUAGCAUCCAUGUGUAACCUUUUCAUACCUAACUUUUCAGUUCCAUAAUCUCCUCUCUUCCAAUGACCUUGUCUCUACUCCACUUUGACACCUACUCCUGUGGUUAUACUUGAAGACUUUUCCAUUACUGGUAAUGACAACACCUCCAAAAUCACAAUUUUAAGAUCUCAUCUUCCAAUCACCACCUCUUGUUUUUUUUAGCUCAUUCCCUCUUGUACUCCACGUUUGAAACUUUUUGACCCCGCUUUGAUGUCUGACUGCUAGAACUAUUGCCUCUCACUACACACAUACUCCAUUUUAUUCUACUUUGUCCAGUGCUGAUUCUUUUUUGUUGUUUUUUUUUUUUUGAGGCAGAGUCUCAC
rnacentral:lncRNA from 1 species